ensembl:snRNA RNU2-12P RNA, U2 small nuclear 12, pseudogene
AUCACUUCUCAGCCUUUUGGCUAAGAUCAAGUGUAGAAAUUCUUCUUCCCCAUGCGUUAUACCACACUCACAGGGCUCCAGUGUGAUCACAGUGAAUCACAAUUGAAAGAGAUCCAAGGCCAAGACUUUUUCUGAGGAGACUACAGGAAAGUCCAGAGAAAACAGGGA